AUGCUAGAGCUCCAUUUGUUGAUUUUUGUUACCAAUGGAAGUGGGAACAGUAUAUAUUCCUCUCAAGAAAAGGAAGAUAAGAUUUUAAGAAUAAAGGAUGUUUGCCAAUGCCAUAUUACUUUGUAUUUUUGCCGCUUUCAACUUAGAUAUCAUUGCUUUUCUUCUAUCAUUUUCAAAUUACUUGGCCUACCCACUAGGAUUGAACUAGUGGUGACAAGUUUGAAGAAUUUUUGA